rnacentral:rRNA from 1 species
UUUGCUCCGGCCUGUUUAUCAAAAACAUGGCUCUUUGUAAACAAAAAAUAAAGAGUCGGGCCUGCCCAGUGAAUUUUAAACGGCCGCGGUACUCUGACCGUGCAAAGGUAGCAUAAUCAUUUGCCUUAUAAUUGAAGGCUAGUAUGAAUGGUUUGACGAGAGCAAUACUGUCUCCUUAUUAUUUUCAAGAACUUAACUUUUAGGUGAAGAGGCCUAAAUUUUAUUGAAGGACAAGAAGACCCUGUCGAGCUUAAAAGAUUAUAUAGGAGUCUAUAUAUCUUUAGAUAAAUUUCUAUCGAGCUUUUUAGUUGGGGCGACUGAGGAACAAAAAAAGCUUCUUUUUAAAAAAUAAACAAUCAUGUUUAGAUCCGGUAGUAGCGAUUAAGGAAAUUAGUUACCGCAGGGAUAACAGCAUAAUCUCUCUUGAGAGACCUAAUCGAAAGAGGGGGUUGUGACCUCGAUGUUGGACUAGAA